CUGGACUGUGGUGUCCGCAGCAUGGACAGACAGCGGGACAGAGCUUCUCUUUGGCUUUUAGUUUUAGCUAGCUGAGGCGGAGGAGUUCCCUGGACUUUUUUUCUUUUUUUCCCUUGGAUCAGUUCAAACCUGCUCUGGACUGAAAAAACCCAGCCAAACCCCAGGAGCUCAUGCCUGUGGCCCACUGGGGCCUGGGCCUUGGCACUUUCCGGUGCCAGAGGGACUGAUAAGGACUGAGUGAGCCGAGCUACACCCCAUGAAAAGGACUUCUUUCCUGGAUUUGCCAUCUCAUCGAACAGAUCUCACAAUAUUCUGAUUGACUUUGGUUGUUUCCUAGUUUCCGGGGUCUCUGUCUGCUUGCUUCUCGGCUCGAUACAGUUUCACGUGCUUUGCGGGAACCCAUUUUUUGUCCUUCACCUGUGGAAACACAAGCAUACCCUUUUCCCCAG